AAAGGGGGGGGGGGGGAACUCCAUGAUAAUUCAAUUUUUUUUUAUGUAAAUUUUAUAAAAAUAGUUGCUUCGAGAAAAAGUGAGGAGAAGACAUCUUUAUGUCAUAUAACAUGUGAAACUGAUUUCAUUCCACCCACAAGUUUGAAAUAAUGAAAUAAUUUUAAUGAAAACAAUAUAAAGAGACGUCAUAAAUCCCAUAUCAAACGCCAUAUAACCACUUGAUUCUGUGCGUCUUUUUAAUGAAUUUAGAAACAGGGGCAAAUUCUAAAAUGUAUUUUUAAAGGUAAUGUUAGCUGCAAGUCUGUAGACCUUGUAUGAAAAAUUUCGGAUGGUAGUCAAUUUUUCCGGGAUACAGACAGAGCGGUACAUGUAUGCAGCUAAGGUAACUAAGAAUGAUCCCAAUAAAAUACUUUGUUGAGUAAUGCAAGCUUUUAAGAAAGCAAUACUUAUAUUUGUUUAAAAUAUAACACCCAAAUACUUCGUCUUACAUUCGCUAUUUGUAGAACAAGCAAAACAGUACAUGUAUCAGUCUGACCGGCCUCACCAUAUACAUUGUUGGAAUGUUAUUGUCCUAGCAUUGCAAUGCUCUGCAUGUACACAAUUUCUUUUAAAAUUCAAUCACUUAAAGUGUUCAUCUAUAUGGCUACACAUAACGUACACACGUGAUUCAAAAUAACCCAGACGGAAAACGGUAAAGAAUUCAGCCAUUGAGUCUACGUUUUAUAGAACUUGUAAGAAAACACAAUGCGGGUCUGAAUGUUUGUUGAUAUGUCAAUCUAUCAAUGUACAGUUUGUUAAUUAUUUUCGAUUGCUAAGGCUACAGCGUAUUUGAUGAACAUUGAACAACAUUUUUUCCAUGCCACUUUUUUCCAUGGAAGAUAGCGAAUACAAGUAUAAAGCAUUUAUAAAAUUUAUUUAAUUACCUCUUUAGAAUUGUGUAUGGAAUAAAUAAUUUAUAAGUUGCUGCUGAAGGUUGUUUGGUAUUUUCGUUUGUAGAUGCUUUGCAAGUAAAAAACCUGAAACGCGGGGCAAGUCAUAACUAAUAUCCCUAAUAACCGUAACUUAAAACUAGCGGCUUUGGAUUCAAAUAUUAUCGUAUACGAAUAUUAAGUUCACUUUUUAAAAUCAUCUCCACGAUGAUAAUUAUAUUAUAUCCAUCGCAAAUCAGUAUUUUUUUUUGCUUUAAAAGAAUUGUUCUAUCGGGAGCAAUCCCGCGUUCGUUUAAAUUGUCAUGUCAGUAAUACACAUUGUGCUUUAUAUGACGGCCGUGUAUAGGUAUUGUAGAAAAGUUGAAUUUAAUUACCAUGCAUUGGAACCAUUUUAUUAACACAUCUCCCAGUACUGAAACAAUUCAAAAUGUCUCUGUUACAGUAACACAGUGGGGCGUUAAUCGUGUACGUCCAGCUCUACAAGCACAUGCACUGUCGUCUAGGCGACGGCCUGAAUACAGCUAGCGACUCUCCUAUCGAUCGGUUACCAGGGGCACAGUUAUGAAACAAACAACAAAAAUAAGGUCAAAGAGGUUUAUCUAUAUGAAAUGAAAAUGUACAUAUGUAUAAAAACAUUUGGGAAUUUUAUGUGGAAUUAUUUUUGCGCGCUACAUGUAUCAGUUAGUGCAUUACAAGAAGCCCUUUCAUAACCUCAUAAACGUGCGCACCCCCACAAAAAUGGACCGAACUGACAACAAUUGUUUCUGCAAAUACUGACUAUAAAUUACGAAAACAUUAAAUUGAAUACUAUAGAAGGAUUCAAAAUUAUUUUCUUUACAACUUUGCUUCAAUAAUGCAUUAGAAAUAUUUAUUCCUUUUUAAGUUAUUGACAAGAAACUUUGGACGCCUCUAACUCCCUAAUUAUAAGGGCCAGCCCCUUUUUCGGUAUACCGAAUGAAAGGUCUGGGCAAGACCAAGAACUUUUAAAAUACAUGUUAUAACAAAUUUUUAUCAGGUAGAAAACUAACACGGAAAAUACGCGAAUUUUUUUGAUUUUUUUUUCUUACCUUUGUUUCAACAUCUAUACCACCCCUUUUAUUUGCAUUUAAAUAAUAAAUAAAAUAUAUCUCGCACAAAUUCAAUGUAUUAGCUUCCAAACCAGCCCAUCUUUGAGACUCUGCCAGUCAUCGUUAAAGCUAAACCCCCUGGACAAAAGAAGUCGUUAAAUUUUACUAAAAGGGGAAUAACUCAAAACCGGAUAGGGAUUUUCCUCAACUUAAAUAUGCAACGACAACAUCACGCGGCAUGUUAUCAGUCCUGAAAAUUUCAAAACAAUCGGUGAACAAACGAGCGAGAUAUUAAGGAUCAAAGUUAGCGUCUAGAAGAAAAAAAAAAUAACUAGAGCAAAGCUCGUUGCAAAGCAACGAGUGGGUUUUUCGCUAAUGUCGAAAGCAACGCUAGAAGUACGUCUAAGAAGCAGAGUUCUUUAUCUAGUAACAAAGAAACCUAAGUACAAAAAGAUAAAAAAAAUUGAAUGAUUCUUGGUACAACUUAACAUAAUCCGAAUGUUUUUAAGUACGACUUAACCAAAAACCCUUAACCAUUUCAAGAACGACUUAACAAAAAAAACCAAUGUGUUUAAGUACGACUAAACAAAUUUGACUUCAUUUUAGGUACAAGUUUACUUUACCUUGAACUAACAUCUUUUUUCUUAACCCAGAAUGCAAAAUUAAAAUUUACGUAAAAAAUCAAUUUUGUUUAAAACAUAAUUCUGAGCAACUUUUUCUCUUCACUGCUUUUCAAAGGGUUGACCUUUCGUACUGUGUGCUCGUUGCGUCAUUAAUUGUCAGAAACUUAUCGAUGUUAAGUUUACUGUACCUCUGUGAAUAUUUUCUAUGUAAAAUUACUAUGAACCAGACAACAUUGAAAUGGUGAACAUUUCAAAGGGCCCCGCUUAUGUAAUUUCAGAGAAUUCUGCUUUGACCUUGAGCUAUAACUUGAAAUUUUUCCAGCUGGCAUAGAACUUUUAAUUCAAUUUCAUUCCUCCUAACAUACAUGCAUUUUUGUUCAAUCUGACCAAGAUUAAGCAUAUUUGGAAAAUAAUCUACUGUCUAAAACUAAUUUUAAAAAGAUCUGCUAUGACCUUCCAGGGCUCUACAUUAACUUUUUUUCCUACUUGUCCAUUCGGACAAGUGACCAAAACAUUUACUUGUCCGAACUUCAACUUCACCUGUCCGAAAAAUUUUCAAUAUUAAAGAUCAAAUAUUGUCAACUUGAGAACUACAGUACUCUAUUACUAAAAUAGUAUCAUUUAUUGAUUAAUACUCUAGCUAUAAUUAAUAACCUGACUUUUUAAAUGGAAACUUAAAGUGUCUUUCCUAUAAUUAUGUACAUGUAUUUGUUCUAUAUAACAUUAAACAUGAUUUGUCAGCUGUAGCUUUGUCAUGGCAAAUUACAAGACAUCUUAAAUUUAGCAUCAGGUUUAAAAAUACAUGUAACUGUUAUAUUGAUUUCUCAGCUGUUUUUUAAACUAAACAUGGAAUGUCAUCAUAGUCUAUCAAUGAUGAAUGAAACCUAAAAUAAAUUACAUUUCUUUCCAUAAUCCUUUAUCUUUGCUACCUUUUCUUCCUUUCUUUUUCUUAACAUAUGUGUUUGGUACUUUGUAAAAACUAAGAUCCACACCUUGAAAGUUGUUUGAAAUUAGUGAACUUCAAUCCCGAUCAAGAGUAACUCAAUUGCAUUGCAAUUUGAUGUCGGGAUCGAAAUUCAAAAUAACUAAUCGAUAAACUUAUAACGAGACUACAGAUAAACUUAUCACAAAACUUUCUUUUCUUUUUUAAAUGUUGGAGACUUCUUACUAUAAAAAAUGCACUUGUCCAGUCAGACAAGUGGCCAGCAAUAUUCACUUGUCCGCAUAUUUUUUUAACUGGUACCGGACAAGCGGACAAGCGUUAAUGUCGAGCCCUGCCUUCACAUUGACAGACUUGGUUCAAGGUCACUGCACGCCAUUAACCAAUAAACUCUGUAAAGGUAAAAUAUUAGCCAAAUUGGGGCUAAAAGGAGAGUAUAUCUAUGCUCUUAAAAUAUGGAUUUUUGUGUGAUCUGAUAUGACCUUGACUCUUCAUCUACAAAUAUCAUUCGAGGUCAUUGCAUAUAUUUUGAUCAAAGGCAUCAUGUGGGUGAAGUAUGAGGCUGAAUGGAGCAAAGGGAGAGAAGAUAUACUCCGGACAAGGAUUUUUAAAAAUAUAAUUCUGCUAUGACCUUCACAGUUUCUUUUCACUGAAAAUAGGUUCAAGGUCACUACACACCCUUUCACCCUUUACUCAAACGCUCUGCUUAUGUGAAGUCUGAGCCAAAUAAGGGUUAGUAGAAAUUAUAUAUGCUCUCAAAAAAGGAUUUUUGCAUGAUCCGAUAUGAUCUUCACCCUUUACCUAGAAAUUUCAUGCAAGGUCACUGCACAUCGUUUAACCAUAGAGACACUCUGUGAGUAUUAGCCAGAUUGGACCAAAGGGAAAAAAGAUAUGCCCCAGACAAGGAUUUUAUAUAUAUAAUUCUGCUAUGACCUUAACCUUAUACCUAAAAACAUGGUUCAAGGUCACUGCACAUCCUUCAACCAAAGGAACCCUGUGGAUGAGAUAUGAGCCAGAUUGGGCCAAGGGGAGAGAAGCUAUGCUCCUGUCAAGCCAUCUCGGAUGGACAGACGGACAAAUUGAUCACUAGAAGGCGCCCGCAUAAACAUGCCUUUUAUCUAAUUUAAAAUAGUAUCCAUGCUAUCUGCCCAUGGUGAAUAGUCAUCAAUAUUUACAAUAUUUAACCAAAAAAUAGCUUUUAAAAAUAUUUGAAAAGGUAAAAAUUGUAAAAACCCCAGCGGGAUUCGAACUCAUGACUUACAGGUUCCUAGUAACCCUCUAACCCACUGUGCUAAGGAGUUAUGUGACCAUUUUUGAAAAGAAACUACAUGUACUUAUAUAAUUACACUUUAUUUUAUUGUUUAUUUCGAUAAACAAUACGUCACAACAUGGAAGUGUCCCAUAUCACCUUAAACUCGGAACACCUCUGACCUAAUAAGAUCGCAUCAUUAAAUACAAAGUUUGAUUUAACUCUAAUUUGUUUAUCAUCAAGAAAUUGUGCAUCGCUGACAAAUAAAGUUUUCUUCUGUAUAAUGAAAUACCAAUUAACUGACUAUUCGGACAAUAGCAAGUUUAUUGUCCCACUCCACAGCAACUAUUUCCCCUGGCUUUGCCUCAUUAAAUAGUUGCUGUCUUUGGGUACAAUAAACUUGCUAUUGUCCUCAUACCCAGUAAAUACUAAAUAGGCAUAUAAUAUCCCAUCCACCUACAUUUCAUGUUAUAUAACCUCCCGUUUGUAACCUUCAAUUUCACUGUAAAGUCAACAUAUCUGUCAUAGCCGCAAGUUUCACAAUUUAUUUCUGCUUCUCAUGUACUUAAAAUCAGGGGCCUUAAUAUUGCUUACCAAUUCCAACAAGUGACAUCCCUCUAACUAUUGAUAAUCAUUAAAUUUCAUUUCAUGAAUCUACGCAACAAUGAUAAACCUUCAAGUACAGUCACUCUCAAUUUUACAAAAAUAUUGACGGUACUUUAUCCGAAACUGUUCCUUGUACCUUUAACUUAGUACACUAACAUUUUUAUGAAAAGACUAAGAAAGCUAAUGCAAUUCUGAGAAAAAGAAUACCACAUAUUGCCAAUUCCAUUGAGGUUUAAUAAAAAUAUGGCCAUUUAAGUGAACCCACCAUUUCCAAUUUCCUUUAGUAAACACAGAUUUACAGGGUUCUCCAUAGUAAAACAUCUUUACCUGACCUUUUAGAGGUCAACUUUUGUUCAACCACCUUUAAAAAGAAACCUUAUUCAAUACAACAUACCCCUACAUGAUAUAAUCAUGAUAAAAGCUUCACAUCACUUAGAAAUACCCUUACAUGUAUACCCCCCACCCCCCAAUCUUUUGAUUUUCAUAAAAAGUCAUGGUUUGAAAUGUUUUACCUAAUUUUAUGAAACGUGUGGCAAUUUCCUUGAGUAAUUUCUCACACAUAUGAAAACAAUCAUCAAUGAUUCUAAAAUUUGAUCUUUAUUUGUUUAUUGUAUGAUUUGUACCAUUUUAAUUAACAGAUAGACAGCUGUCCUGCUUGUGAUUUCUUGUUUUCAUGAAAAAAGUAAGCUAACAAUCAUAUUUAGUGAAUAUCUAAUCUAUUCUGAUUUCUAGUCUCCUUCUAACCAUGCUAAAACAGUAAGUUACAACCUACAAGUUAGACAUCUGCCUUAAAUUAAAAUUAAAUUCAAACACACCCAGGUAGCUGGAGACAGAUCGAGUUGAUUUCAAUGAAAAAUUUUCAAAUUUGACAUGUUUUUCUACUUUUUUUUAUGCAUAUAUACCUUAGAAAGGUAGAAAUAGGUUGUUUCUUGUUCAUUUCAAAAGUAAUUAUCAUAGCAGAUGUUAUUUCAAAGUCAAAUGUACAUUUACAUAUCCUACAUGUAAUCUUAAUGCAGACAAUUAAAUAGAGGGGGGGGGGGGAUUUUUCAAUUAUGUAAACACAUCUAAAUAUCUUUAUGAAAUAAAAAAUAAAGGAAACAUAAUUGCAUACUUUUAUUGAAAAACAAAUUUUCACAGCAAUUAUGAAUUUCUUUAUAAACAGCCUUAAUUUUGUUUUCAUAAUUUCUUAUCAAACACAAACCACAACAUGGCAUGAUGCUUUCUUCAAGUUCCAUUAUUGUUUAUGCAUUAUCGGAUUUAAUUUGAAUUACCGGUAAAUAGUCUGUAGAACACAAAGGAAUAUGCAUGUGGAUAGAGGUGACAGGUUAAUCUCAGGAGCUGACCCACAAGAAUCAACAGGUACCGGUAAAAGCCAUGUGGUAACAAGAGUCUGUUUUGAGAUGAAAUAAAAAAAAAAAAUAAUUAGCUGCGUUUACAUACAUGUACUAGUAAUAGCUGUGUUUACAUUAACAUAUGCAUAGUAUUUCUGGAAAAAAUACACUGACCAUGCAGUGUAAUAGGUCCCUUACCAAAGUAAAAUUAUUGCUGCAACAAUGCCGCAAUAUUGCGGCAAUAUUGCAGCAACACAUUUUUGUUACCAGAAACCAGAUUUUGAGACUAGUGAAAUGUUGCCGCUAGCUGCAACAACUUCUGGUAACAUUUUGGCAAUACUGCUGGAGUGUUGCCGCUAGCGGCAAUAACUUCUGGCAACAUUCUGGCAAUACUAUUAGAGUUAUUUCUGUUAAAAAUUAUUGCCACUAGCUGCAACGACUUCUGGUAAUAUUCUGGCUACACUCAGUAUCAUACUGCCAGAAAUAAUUUUCUGGUAACAUCUACAUGUAUUUGAUCAUUUAAAUCAUGAACUAAUUUAUAUACAUAUAAUAUACAUGUAUAUAAUUCGAUCUGGCAAUACUGCUAGGCAUCAUAUUUGAUUUCUGCUUUAAUUAUAAUUUAAGGAGAAGCCGAGCAGUGGAGGGAGGUUAAAAAAUUGUAAAUUAUUUAGAUAUGAUUUCAGUUAUAACACCUCGAAAUUUGCCAGAAGUUUACCACAAACUUUUCUUUUUCCUCUGAUGUAUUAUGCUUACCGAGCUUGCAAAAGCUUUAGCAGAAUUUGGACCUAUAAAAUUUUACACAUUCAGCACAAGUCUUAAACUGUCAAUUAUAAUUGCAUGGUUACGAUGUUUCACUAUAUAGAAGACUGUUUGAAUCACACCCUCCCCCCUCAACUCAUGUUUUACGUGAAUACCGACCUGUCUGUUCUUUUGUAACGGUAUAUUCUUUUUUAUUAAGUUAAAAUACCAGUCUACUUAGAUUUGAGUAUCCAAACUGCUCGAUGCAUGUUGAAUUAAGAAUUUUCGUAUGCUGUUUGUUUCCACUUUUACUUUCGUUUCAAUGUUAAGUUACGCGCGCGCUGAUUGGUCGAUCAAAUCGCUAGCCGCCAAUUUUCACAUUCGAAGCUGCCAUGUUGUCUGCCAUCGAACCUCCUGCCAUCACUGGAGAUGGUGAAAUGAAUGAAAUACGGGAAUUAUCUGUAAACAAGGUUAAAAAAUACACUGUCAAUGGAGUGUUUAUCUGUAAAAAAAAAAUCAACGGCUGAACUGAGGACGAAUCUGAGUGAACGAAUCGAGUGUUGACAUCCCCUGCACCAUCUGCAUGAGCACGUUUUUGAAAAAUAGGUCUGCCCUGGGUUACACAGACCUGAAGAAAACCAUGAAAAAAGCUGUCACUUUACUGAUUAAAUGAAUGAUGGAACUGGCAACCAAAAAAGAAUGAUGACGUAAUUUGUUUAAGAUUAUGGAGAGGAACAUAUACACAACAGUGCUGAAUUCCAAUGUGGAUAUUGUUGUGAAUUCCAAUGUGGAUAUUGUUGUGAUAUUCUGAUAGCUGUUUUUGUGAUUGUUUAUGUGUGAAAUCAGAAUGCCCACGAGGCUGUCAAAAAAAGGACUUUUGGAAUACCUAGGACGAAUGCCUUGAUCAGUCGUAAUACAGCAAGUGGUUGUGCAGGACUUGUGAACUAUAUGGUUUGAGCUUUGCUUACGGUAAACAGUAAACUUUUGUCCAUAUCCGUCUGUGCGCGUUGUGUCAAUCCAUCUGUGCGCGUUGUGUCAAUCAAACUACAGUACAUGUUAUUCUGCAGCAAUAAAUUGUCACUGAUUGGCUGAGUACUUUUAGUCAAGUUUCAUCAUGAUUUGUUCAUCAUAUUUGUGUUUAUUGUAUUUAUGUGUUAAAUUUAAAGAUUAUUAAUUUUAACUGGCGUCCUUUAUAAGCAUGUUGAAAUUCCAGUUUCAGGUCUCUAAUAUUAUACAUUAUAUUUUUAAUUCAAUACUUAUUUUGUGCAUGUUACAUUGAAUGAUAUAAUUUUUUUACUUCUGUAAUAUUGUGUAAUCACAAACUGUUUUUUAUUUUUGAAAGAAUGCGAAUUGCCGAAAUGUUAGUCUUGUUGUAACCUUUUUGCAUCUUUAAAAAAAUAAAACUGUAAUGGCAAUUAAAGAUUUUUUUUCAUUUUGGUUGUAGAUUAAUAUAAUAUACAUGACUGCUUUACUGUAUACAUUUAUUAUUUAUAAAUAUUGCAUAUAUUGUACCAUUCAUGCCAGAGCACAGAAAAUGCAUUGAACCAAUAUUUCUGCAAUGUCAUUUUUCUUAUGCAAAUAUAUUGCCUGAAAGGUGUUGCAGCAAAACUUUUGCGGCAACAUCUUUCUGGCAAUAUUGCCGCAAUCUCAUUUGCAUACGAAAAACGCUACUGCAGCAACAUUGCCGCAAUGUAUUGCCAGAAAGGUGUUGUCGCAACAAUAUGUUGCAGCAAAACUUUUGCGGCAACAUCUUUCUGGCAAUAUUGCCGCAAUCUCAUUUGCAUACGAAAAACGCUACUGCAGCAACAUUGCCGCAAUGUAUUGCCAGAAAGAUGUUGUCGCAACAAUAUGUUGCAGCAAAACUUUUGCGGCAACAUCUUUCUGGCAAUAUUGCCGCAAUCUCAUUUGCAUACGAAAAACGCUACUGCAGCAACAUUGCCGCAAUGUAUUGCCAGAAUGUUGCUGCAGUAUUGCUGCAAUAAUGCCAGAAUGUGUUGCCAGAAGGUCCAUAUUUUGGUAAGGGGUAUGACAUAUCCCAAUACAUGACAUAACAUUUAGGCAGUACAAGAUCAAAAAUUUGCAUAUCAAGUCAUAAUAUUAAAAAAUUUUCAUAGGUAUAAACACUUAUCAAAUUGAGAGAGAGAGAGUUUGAGAGAGAGAGAGAGUUUAUUACCGUACUUGUAGUGCAACAGUCAAUAUUUCAAUUCGUAAAUUACAAACGAAUAUUACCCACCGAACAGCGUCAAAGUACAUGUACUGGUAUUAGCUUCUGGUAUACCAUUUUUUAUCAAUUCUACUGUGUUUUUUUUUUUGCAAAUAAAUUUAGCAAGGGUUUUUGCUUAUUUUCUUAUAAAUUACAUGUUUUAAAAACAAUACUAUGUGUAAUAAGCAUAAAACAUGUAUGAGUAAACUUAAUGAAGAAUUUUUAAUAGAUUAUUUUUCACAGAAUGUGGUACAUUACAUGUAUGUCAAUCUUUAUAAAACUAGCGUAUAUUUCGUGCGCCAUAAAUUGCAAGUUUUUUGUAAAUAUCAUUUACUUGCAUGAUAGGUAUAUAUGGUCUAACCAAAAUUUUCUUCACAAAGCUACAGCUGUAUGUACCACAUAUAUGUUUUGUCACAAGUAUACAUUUAAAAAAAAACAACCCCAAAUUCCAACAGUUGAAAUAAACUCAACUCAUUCUCUGAUAAGUUCAUUGUGUUUUGUGCGUGCAUAUCUUAUUUGUCUGC